rnacentral:rRNA from 1 species
AGUGAACGCUGGCGGUAGGCCUAACACAUGCAAGUCGAACGGCAGCACAGUAAGAGCUUGCUCUUACGGGUGGCGAGUGGCGGACGGGUGAGGAAUACAUCGGAGUCUACUUUUUCGUGGGGGAUAACGUAGGGAAACUUACGCUAAUACCGCAUACGUCCUACGGGUGAAAGCAGGGGAUCUUCGGACCUUGCGUGAUUGAAUGAGCCGAUGUCGGAUUAGCUAGUUGGCGGGGUAAAGGCCCACCAAGGCGACGAUACGUAGCUGGUCUGAGAGGAUGAUCAGCCACACUGGAACUGAGACACGGUCCAGACUCCUACGGGAGGCAGCAGUGGGGAAUAUUGGACAAUGGGCGCAAGCCUGAUCCAGCCAUACCGCGUGAGUGAAGAAGGCCUUCGGGUUGUAAAGCCCUUUUGUUGGGAAAGAAAAGCAGCAGGUUAAUACCCCGCUGUUCUGACGGUACCCAAAGAAUAAGCACCGGCUAACUUCGUG